rnacentral:tRNA from 1 species
GUAUUUAUAGCUUAUUAGAGUUUAAUAUUGAAGAUAUUAAGGAGAAAAAUUUUAUUUCUGAUUACA